AUGAGAUAUUUCAUGCUCGUAAGCUGCGUUUCGCUUCUAAACUGUUACAAAAACCCAAGAGACAAUGAAUUUGCACACAUACAUUUUAAACCUGAGUUUUCUUCCUUUUUUUUUUUUUUUUUGUAUGCAUGGAAAAACUACUACUUUUCUGAUUUGCUACCCCAUCUCUCUGACCUUGUUUUUAUUACUGUAGCAUACCUGCUCCCAAAUAAUUGCAAGUAUAUGCAAGAUCUAAUUUUAUUCCUUCUUUUUCUUACCAGCUGGAAAGCACGUAAUACUGCUGAAAAGAUGCAAAGAGAAGAUGCAAUUCUAUUAAGCUCUCCCUCCCAGUACAGGAAUUAAAGAACAUCAAAUAAAAUCAUCAGAAAGCAGGCUAGAAGAGAACCA
rnacentral:lncRNA from 1 species